rnacentral:rRNA from 1 species
AGAGCGAACGCUGGCGGCGUGGAUAAGACAUGCAAGUCGAGCGAAGUAUCCUGGGUAGCAAUAUUUGGGAUGCUUAGCGGCGCAAGGGUGCGUAACACGUGGGCAAUCUGCCCUGAAGCCUGGGAUAACUCCGAGAAAUCGGAGCUAAUACCGGAUGUGACUGCCGAGAGGCAUCUCUUGGCAUUCAAAGGUUGGGGACCGAAAGGCCUGACACUUCAGGAUGACGCCCGCGGCCUAUCAGCUAGUUGGUGAGGUAGCGGCUCACCGAAGGCUAAGGCGGGUAGCUAGGUCUGGAGACGGACGACC